CUAUAUAUAUAAAAAUCAAUUGCUGUUCCUUUGUCUCGCUAAAACUCGAGAACGGCUGAACGGAUUUAUCUUAUCUUGGUCUUGAAUUAUUCGUGGAGGUCUAGGGAAGGUUUAAAAGGUGAGAAAAUAUCAAAUAAUUGACGGAAAAGCCCUAAAAACAGCCCUUUUCUUUAUCCCAUACAAACGUUUUCUAACUAAUACGUAGAGUCAAUUUGAGCUUUAUUGCUAUUGGAUAAAGUUCAUUGUUGGAUAAAUGCUAUUGGAUACUAAAAAACAAAUGCUAUUGAAUAAGUGUGCGUUGGAGACUUGGAGCACAGAAUCCCUACUAAUAUUAUAAAUGCGAAAGUAACUCUGUCUGUCUGUAAUUACGCUUACAAGCCUAAACCAGUGAACCGAUUUUGAUGGAAUUUAGUACUGAGAUAGAAUAGACCUUGAUACUUUUUAAGCAAAAAAAUAGCGGAGAAUGGGUAAAAAUAAGGGAUAAAUGGUGAUAUGGAAAUUCGUCAUUUUAAAAGCCGUAACAGUAAAACUUUGUAUUUAGAUACUUAAUGAGGAACGAAAGAACAUGGUCUACUUUUUAUUGCAAAAAAAUAGGGGAGAGUGGGUAAAAAUAGGAGAUGAAUGGUCAUAUGGAAAUUCGUCAUUUUUAAAGCUGUAACAGUGAAAUUUUGUAUUUAGACACUUAAUGAGGAGCGAAAGAACAUAGGCUACUUUUUAAUAAAAAGGGUAGAAGGCGUAGUAUGUUUGAUAGAGGAGAUUAAUGUUUGCUUGAAAAUUCGUCAUUUUUGUUAAUACGUUGCCUGUGGCUUCACUCGCGUUCGAUCCUUAUUUAAAUACACAUAUAAUUAUUUAAAUCGCCAAUAUCCCUACUACAAAGAAAUAUAAGAGCAAAUCAAACUGAUGAGCAUCGCGAAGCGCGAAAUGAACUUGAACUGAAUCGAUAUCAAGAUAGAAAUGUUCUGUUUAAUCCCCACAAAGCUGCAUUCAGUUAUAAUGUGGCAAUUGAUUAGAGCAAAGUUCAGAGCAAAUUGUUGCUAUUGGACUAAUGAACAUUUUGUGUCCACAUUGGGGUUGAAAUUAAAAAAUGAAGCCUCUGGAUUGUGUUGAGCCAGCGGCCAAGUCAAAUUGACGCCAUUGGUACCGCCACCAGAGCCACUACAUUCAUUGGUUCAUUUUUUGACUCAUAUCCAGCAGUACAAUAAUUGCUUUCAAAUGACAUCAUUUGGGGCAACAAAAGUUAUACGAGACAAUUUUUUGCCUACUUUUAGCAAAUUCAGGGAUUCAAAUAUAUCAUCAAACAGGUUCCUUAUUGCCAGUGCCUGUUGAAGACUAUACAUUUUUGCAAAUAUAUUUUAUGGACAAUUCAGCAAGAGAAGUCGAUCAGCGUUGCGCACACAACAACUCAGUAAAGAGAUCCAUUGUGAUGAACAACUUCAAACAUUUUUCCUUCAACACAAUGAAUUAGUUGCAUUAGACCGAUGCAUUAGACAUUCACAAAUGCAUUAGACCGCAUGCCAUCAGAUAAUCACAAAAUUGUCAUCAGAGCCGAUAAGGCGCCUGCAGGACAGUGAAAUGAUUGAAUCCUAUGAAAUAAACACUAUUAUGAAAAUA